rfam:TPA: Bos taurus chromosome 3, whole genome shotgun sequence.
UUCCUGGUGGCUCAGCGGUAAAGAAUCUGCCUGCAAUGCAGGAGACCCAGGUUCGAUCCCUGGGUUGGGAA